GAUAUCAAUCUCUAGUGCUCCGAUUUCUAGUAGUGUUCAGUAACAGUAGUUCAAAUUUCACUGGAUUCAAACAAGAUCACAACUUUUGCACCUUGACCAAAUGUUUGUAUAGCAAAUGGAUUUAAAUCUUCUUGCACAUGAACAUUGAUUGAAUGUUUAAAGUAAACCAAUAUCCUUAGGGUUUAGGGAAACAAAACACAUUUAAGCACAUUGCUUUAAGCACAUUUACUUCAAGGAGGAAAUAUAUGAAACACAAGUGAGUCUAGUUUACUUCAUAGAUAGUUUAUUCCACAAAUUUCCAAUGAUCAUACAAGAAAGAGUAUACAAUGCACCUAUGAUGUACAUACAAGGAAACAUUUCAAUGGAUUGUACCGCCAUGCACAGCAACCGAUAAGAUAAGUUUGACAAAAUGAAAUACUGAUCGGAACAUGUUACAGUACUCUUACAAGUGUUGAACUAUGAAUGACCACAUUGAUUUUUUGCAGUUAUCAGAGGAGAGAUAUUUACAUCUAGAUAUAUGGACAGUGCAUGGUGACCAGAGGACCAUAAAUGCAUCCAGAUAAAUGGCCAGUUGUGACCAUGCAGAGGCAGUGUCUGUUAAAAUUCAUCGAUGGCAAUUAUGGAGAACUCUUGCUCACAUGAACUCAUGAACGAAAAGUUUGAAUGAGCUAUAACAAAUACAAGUGGUGUGAUUGAGGAGAAGUCAGAUGGUAGGACAAUUCUGUAGACUGAUUUUGUACAACUGGAUGUGCUAAACAAGCACCCAGACCUGCUGUCCCCCACAAAAGCACCCAUGUCGACCAAACAGAACCAAGCCUGUCGGCACAUUGACCCUGCCUCCGAGCUUCAUAUUGCGGAAAUCAUGAAACAAGCGAUCCCACGCCAGUCCUCUUGCCGCCUGUGACAACAGCAGUAAGUCAAACUGACUCCUGUCUAGAGUCAACAUUGCUCAUUCCCAUGCACCCACUGUCUGCCAAACAUCCAGGUCGUAUACCAAGCAAUAAGGUGCAGGCAAAGUUUAAUAUUAAAGCUACACUGAUUGAGGUCAAGCGAGCUUAUGACUAGAAGCCUCGUCUAUCAAGUUUGAGUGCGUCCGUAUUUACUUCGAGUCGUACGUAUUUUUUACCUCUGAAUAAUGUGGCCCAAUUUAAUUUAAAGUUCACAGAAAUUUUGCAUUUAGCCGGUCGUCUACCAAAUGUGCUCAAAUAUGAUCCGCUCAAUUUAACAUAAACUGUUUAAACGCCAUAACUAUUCUUAAAUUUACCCUGGGGAAAUGUUACUAUAAUUUAACAGACAUGAUCCUUGAAUGAGUGGUCCUCUAUCCAAUGAAUUUUGCAUUAAUGAUUCCACUCCUUCGAAUACUCACGGUAACGCAAAAAUUCCGUAUACAAUGUAUUUCUACAUUGAAACUUUUGAAAUCUAUACUUCUGGAAUCCUCUUGAUAGAUUUCCAAAU